rnacentral:lncRNA from 1 species
UUUCCUCUCCCAAAAUGAAUGAAUGAUUUUAAUUUGAUAAAAUUCCUCCUAUGACCAAUUUGUGUUUCUCUCUUCCCCUCCCCUUUCAUAUCCAUCCCUAUUCUUUCCCAUUCCUUUUUUCUGACCAAUGAAAUCUCAAAUAUCAUAAGGCUAAUUGAUUCAUCAAUGACCUUGUGUCAGAUGAACCAAUGCAAGUAUGGAUGAGAUAG